CCUACGGGAGGCAGCAGUGGGGAAUAUUGGGCAAUGGGCGCAAGCCUGACCCAGCAACGCCGCGUGAAGGAAGAAGGCUUUCGGGUUGUAAACUUCUUUUAAGAGGGAAGAGCAGAAGACGGUACCUCUUGAAUAAGCCACGGCUAACUACGUUCCAGCAGCCGCGGUAAUACGUAGGUGGCAAGCGUGGUCCGGAUUUACUGGGUGUAAAGGGCGUGUAGCCGGGCCGACAAGUCAGAUGUGAAAGCCAGUGGCUCAACCACGGAACUGCAUUUGAAACUGUCGGUCUGGAGUAUCGGAGAGGAGGGUGGAACUCCAAGUGUAGCGGUGAAAUGCGUAGAUAUAAGGAAGAACACCAGGGGCGAAGGCGGCCCGCUGGUCGACAACUGACGGUGAGGCGCGAAAGCGUGGGGAGCAAACAGGAUUAGAUACCCUAGUAGUC
rnacentral:rRNA from 1 species